CCAAACUGAAUCUGGGACGAGAGAGGAGGAUGUUUAGAGACAGGAUGUACUGCCACCAUCCUGAGACUUCAACCAUCCAUCUGCAACCACUGGCCACUCCCUUUAUUCUAUGAAGAAACAGAGACCCAGUGGGAUAAGGGCUUUAACUAAAUCAUGGAGCUAAUCAGCCCCAGCCCUCUGGCCCACCACCAUGCCCACCCCUAGGUCUCCUGUGAAAGACCUGGCACUCAUUGAGGCCUCAAGUGGUCUUUCUCUACUGGGCUGCCAGGAUACCUACAGUCACCAAGGGCAACAUCCUUCUCAGCUGUCAGGCAGGUCAAAGAGCAGCAACAUGAGCUGGAGAGUAGACUUGGAGAAGGAAAGAGGCAAAGAAAGAGAUCCAUCCAUGCUGAGACAUGCAGAUGCACCUUACACAUGGACACAAACCUCAGAUCUGCACGCCCCAGCCUUUGCCAAUCCCAUCAUGCACACUGGACUAUGCACACUGUGUGUGCUUAACCUGCCUGGAUUUGCACGUCCAUUGACAUGACGUGAAUGAAGGUUCUAUUUCCCUCAUACCUCUGCUAGACCUGAGCGUCAACUGGGCAUUUUCCAGUCCAAAUACUUCGGUGGCUAAGGGCUUCUGUAGAGACACAGGCUAAAUGUCGGUAGCUACACAUGGUCCCAGCAUCUAAUAUGAGAGCAGACAUGAGAAGCCCUAUGGACCAUCGAAGACUAUGGUGGUGCAGUGACACGCACCGGGCUCUGGAACCCUCAGGGUGCCCUGGGGAAACAGUACUUCAGCAAGCUCUGACCUGCAUCCAAUACCCAGAGUAUUCUACAGAUUAAGUCCCUGACCUGAGUGAGCCUUGAGCAGUUGACUAAGACCUUACCAGUUGACUUUCUCUGGAACUUUCCUGGGUCUGCCCUCUAGCACCAGCCUUGGGAACCCCUCAAGGAAGCCUGUAAAACUAGGGUCCUCACUGUGUCCUCUCUGCAGUUCCAUUCCAACAUCCAAACACCCUUCUGAGCUGAACUCAUCAGGGAAGCCCAUGGGGCUGAUCCAAGUCAUUCAUCCACAUGACAGUGAUACCUCUUGUCACCCCAUUGGGACUCACUCAGAGAAAGUUUUCAAAGGAAGCUUCUUACCUGUAGGGCUCUGCCUAGGUCCUCUCCAUAUGGGAUAUGGGGCCCGGAGCCAGGUAAAGACAUGUUACCUCGGGGCAGCUCUGUUCAGGUGUCUGAGCAUGACGUUAGCACGGAAAUGGAUUGGCUCCAGAGAGCAGUUCUCCCUCCCAGAAAUAUAGGUGGG